GAUGAACGCUGGCGGCGUGCUUAACACAUGCAAGUCGAACGGAAAGGCCCAAGCUUGCUUGGGUACUCGAGUGGCGAACGGGUGAGUAACACGUGGGUGAUCUGCCCUGCACUUCGGGAUAAGCCUGGGAAACUGGGUCUAAUACCGGAUAGGACGAUGGUUUGGAUGCCAUUGUGGAAAGUUUUUUCGGUGUGGGAUGAGCUCGCGGCCUAUCAGCUUGUUGGUGGGGUAAUGGCCUACCAAGGCGUCGACGGGUAGCCGGCCUGAGAGGGUGUACGGCCACAUUGGGACUGAGAUACGGCCCAGACUCCGACGGGAGGCAGCAGUGGGGAAUAUUGCACAAUGGGCGCAAGCCUGAUGCAGCGACGCCGCGUGGGGGAUGACGGCCUUCGGGUUGUAAACUCCUUUCGCUAGGGACGAAGCGUUUUUGUGACGGUACCUGGAGAAGAAGCACCGGCUAACUACGUG
rnacentral:rRNA from 1 species